AUUUAUAUAGUUUAAAUAAAACCUUACAUUUUCAUUGUAAAAUUAAAAUUUUGUAUUUUUAUAAAUU
rnacentral:tRNA from 1 species